UACGGGGGGGGCAAGCGUUGUUCGGAAUUACUGGGCGUAAAGGGCUCGUAGGCGGCCAGCUAAGUCAGACGUGAAAUCCCUCGGCUCAACCGGGGAACUGCGUCUGAUACUGGAUGGCUUGAGUGUGGGAGAGGGAUGCGGAAUUCCAGGUGUAGCGGUGAAAUGCGUAGAUAUCUGGAGGAACACCGGUGGCGAAGGCGGCAUCCUGGACCACGACUGACGCUGAGGAGCGAAAGCUAGGGGAGCAAACGGG
rnacentral:rRNA from 1 species